rnacentral:rRNA from 1 species
UGGGGAAUCUUGCGCAAUGGGCGAAAGCCUGACGCAGCGACGCCGCGUGGGGGAUGAAGGCCUUUCAGGUUGUAAACCCCUUUCGGCAGGGACGAAGCGAUCUCGUGACGGUACCUGCAGAAGAAGCCUCGGCUAACUACGUGCCAGCAGCCGCGGUAACACGUAGGAGGCGAGCGUUGUCCGGAAUCAUUGGGCGUAAAGAGCGCGCAGGCGGCUUGGCAAGUCGGGUGUGAAAUCCCGGGGCUCAACCCCGGGACUGCAUUGGAUACUGUCAGGCUAGAGGUAGGUAGGGGAGAUCGGAAUUCCUGGUGUAGCGGUGAAAUGCGCAGAGAUCAGGAGGAACACCGGUGGCGAAGGCGGAUCUAUGGGCCUUACCUGACGCUCAGGCGCGAAAGCUAGGGGAGCGAACAGG